rnacentral:rRNA from 1 species
CGCUGGCGGCGUGCCUAACACAUGCAAGUCGAACGGAGUUGCCCUUCGGGACAACUUAGUGGCGAACGGGUGAGUAACGCGUGAGGAACCUGCCUUUCAGAGGGGGACAACAGUUGGAAACGACUGCUAAUACCGCAUGACACAUUCGGGCGGCAUCGCUUGAAUGUCAAAGAUUUUAUCGCUGAAAGAUGGCCUCGCGUCUGAUUAGCUAGUUGGUGAGGUAACGGCCCACCAAGGCGACGAUCAGUAGCCGGUCUGAGAGGAUGAACGGCCACAUUGGGACUGAGACACGGCCCAAACUCCUACGGGAGGCAGCAGUGGGGAAUCUUCCGCAAUGGGCGCAAGCCUGACGGAGCAACGCCGCGUGAGUGAAGAAGGUUUUCGGAUCGUAAAGCUCUGUUGAGAGGGACGAGAGAUAUAAUCAGGAAAUGGGUUAUAGAGGACGGUACCUUUCGAGGAAGCCACGGCUAACUACGUG